AACGCUAGCUACAGGCUUAACACAUGCAAGUCGAGGGGCAGCGCAGUGUAGCAAUACAUGGGCGGCGACCGGCGCACGGGUGCGUAACGCGUAUCCAACUUUCCCGUUACUCAGGGAUAGCCUUCCGAAAGGGAGAUUAAUACCUGAUGGUGUUCAAAUUUCGCAUGUCAUUUGAACUAAAGAUUUAUCGGUAACGGAUAGGGAUGCGUGACAUUAGGUAGAUGGCGGGGUAACGGCCCACCAUGCCUACGAUGUCUAGGGGUUCUGAGAGGAAGGUCCCCCACACUGGAACUGAGACACGGUCCAGACUCCUACGGGAGGCAGCAGGAGGAAUAUUGGUCAAUGGCCGGAAGGCUGAACCAGCCAAGUAGCGUGAAGGAUGAAGGUUCUAUGGAUUGUAAACUUCUUUUAUACGGGAAUAAAACCACCUACGUGUAGGUGCUUGUAUGUACCGUAUGAAUAAGCAUCGGCUAACUCCGUGCCAGCAGCCGCGGUAAUACGGAGGAUGCGAGCGUUAUCCGGAUUUAUUGGGUUUAAAGGGAGCGUAGACGGGAUGUUAAGUCAGUUGUGAAAGGCUGCGGCUCAACCGCAGCACUGCAGUUGAUACUGGCGUCCUUGAGUGCGGUUGAGGUAUGUGGAAUUCGUGGUGUGGCGGUGAAAUGCUUAGAUAUCACGAAGAACUCCGAUUG
rnacentral:rRNA from 1 species